rnacentral:rRNA from 1 species
AGUGAACGCUGGCGGUAGGCCUAACACAUGCAAGUCGAACGGCAGCACAGUAAGAGCUUGCUCUUACGGGUGGCGAGUGGCGGGCGGGUGAGGAAUACAUCGGAAUCUACUUUUUCGUGGGGGAUAACGUAGGGAAACUUACGCUAAUACCGCAUACGACCUACGGGUGAAAGCAGGGGAUCUUCGGACCUUGCGCGAUUGAAUGAGCCGAUGUCGGAUUAGCUAGUUGGCGGGGUAAAGGCCCACCAAGGCGACGAUCCGUAGCUGGUCUGAGAGGAUGAUCAGCCACACUGGAACUGAGACACGGUCCAGACUCCUACGGGAGGCAGCAGUGGGGAAUAUUGGACAAUGGGCGCAAGCCUGAUCCAGCCAUACCGCGUGGGUGAAGAAGGCCUUCGGGUUGUAAAGCCCUUUUGUUGGGAAAGAAAAGCAGCAGGUUAAUACCCCGCUGUUCUGACGGUACCCAAAGAACAAGCACCGGCUAACUUCGUG